UUUGCUUGCGCAACAACUUCCAUCCUUCAUUCCUCUUCAAUUGUCUGUUAAGGCAUGUAUUGCCUUUGCGGAUUGUGUGGUUUCCUGUGUUGUUUACCUAAGUUAUGGUAUUGUGUUUGUUGAUGCUAGUACUUUUUCGUCUUCUAUCAUUCUCAUGAUACAAGAUGAACCUUGAAGCAGUCUCUUUAUACCAUACUUUCAAUGUGUGCGUUGAUGUUAUGGCGUAUCGAGUGUUGCUUGGUUUCUUGGACACAGAACAUGAAUUGGGCAUGGGGUCUUAUUUGAUCCUUUUUUUUGUCCUCCAGAGCGUUGCGCUACUCCUUCAGUAACCUUCCAUACUUUGUGACCGUAUAUCGGAGCGGGUAUGGUCUGUUAUUGUACGGGGAAUGCAACGUGCAUUUCUCUGAGCGACUGCCUUCGCCCGCCACGGCUAGUACCAGCGGGGUAGGUCUUGUCAAUUAUGAAUGCUACCUGGUUGAUCCU
rnacentral:misc_RNA from 1 species